GGUCGAACCUUGAAUGAGAACAUUCGAAAUUCAUCUGUUGCAUAGAUGCUAUUCUUGAUAUCAGGGAGAGAUGGGUCAACAGGAUAUUCUUUCUUCUCUGAUGCACAAGAAAUAGGGAGGUCAUUUAACUUCACAUUCAUCGGAGAAGGAGGUGAAUCUGAAUCAGAAGACGAAGAUCCAUUCUCUGGAGAAGAUGAAAGCGGUGAUGAAUUUGAAUUUGAGGUUACGGUUGAAAUGCUCAGGUUCCGCUCAACAGAAGAACCAUUGGUUGCAAGGAGUUCUUCAAGGGUAGCCUUGACAUCCUGAAGCUUUGGAGGAACAACAAGUACAUCAACAGGCCGAUGACCAUUGGCAUCAAGUGAAUUAGGAUCAGCACCCACUAGUAAAAGCAGUUUCACCACAUCAACAGCAUUGACAGAUCCACCAGAUGCAGCACAAUGAAGUGCAGUACUUUUAUCAAGACCACAGAAUCGAUUCACGUCAGAGUCUGAUAGAGAAAGAAUAAGCUUCAUUACAUCAAUACUACCAUAUGUAGCAGCUACCAUUAAGGGAGUUCUAUACUCAAGGACCAUCUGUUUUGAGCCCUUCUGACGGCCAUACCAUUGUCCAAUUUCAUCAACACCAGAAGGCUCGCGCUCAAUUGAUUGUUUAAAGCGCCCAAAGUCAUUGUUUGCAGCAAGUUCAAGCAAACUGGCAAAAGCA
rnacentral:lncRNA from 1 species